GAAGACACACAUCAUAUGAAAUCUUCCGUCUCUCACUAAGAACCCACGCCUCUUAAGGUUUAACCUAGAAUCCAAAAUCGACCAAAAUCUAUGUCCUGUUCAGGCGAAGGAAGACCGAUUCCGGCGAAGGACGUCCACUUCGGCUAAUGUAAGGCGAAAUCCGAUGUUGGCUGUCAGUGUUUUCUCCCUGUUCGGUGUUUGUAUGGAAUUUCGAUGUUUUGCUGAAAAUUUGUUUGGCUACUUCACCGAUUUUCUUUCUCUGAUAUACCAGCUUCUCAGUUUAAGGAACUUUUUAAAUAUUGGAACUCUGAAAAACUCCAGGUGCAGCGAUUGCGGAUGAAAGCAACCUUGACUGUUGUUGAUAGUUGUUAGACUUUCUAUUAUCAUUUUCAAUGAUAUUUUAGUUUUGAAUUUUUUGGAUGCAAACACAUCUAUUUUGACUUUUGAAUUGUUGAUCAGACAAUGUAUUCAUAUUUUGUUUUGGCAUAUGGAUAAUGCUAGUUGGAUAUUUAUAUUUUA